UUCCACAUUCACUGAUCUAAGAGGAACUCUUUUAGGUGCUGAGGUUACAGUGAAAAGCCAGUCAUAUAUCUUGUCUAUCUCUUGUAUCCCUCAUAUAUCUCAGCCCCGCAGCAGGCCUUGUAUACCCUGUGCUCUAAGUGUGUCUGUAAGGCUACAAACUCCAUUUCCCAAGCUCCCAAUGCUUAUGGGCAGAACUGGUGGGAGAGAAAAAAGGGAGAAAAUUGUUAAAGGAAUAAUCAUAUGGUUUAUUACUUGUUUACAAAUACGUUACAUUAGGAUUGCUUUCCUAGAUCCCUGAAAACCUUGAAGUACCAACCUUAGAAAUGGCAGUAAAAACAGGAAUUUGAAAAAAUGUGCAGAGGAUUUUGGGUAAUAUUCCAAUUCAACAAAAUACAUAAAGCAGGCAGGAAUAUACCCCAAUGUUCAACCAUUAAUUGGGAAAGGAGUCCAGGAAAUCUUGCUGCAUUCAAAUCCAGGGUCAUAGGUUGACAUUGUAAAUAGAAGGGGACUGCAAAUGCCAGAAACCAAGUAAGAAAUCUGAGUAAAUACAACAAUGAAAGGAUACUUCUAUAAUAAGGGAACAUGAUACAUAACAAAAAAGUUCACAAGAAAGUAGUCCUGGAAAGUAGUCAUCCCGAAAAAUUUCUGUCAUAGCAACUCCCUUUAAAAUGUACAAAAUAGACACUACUUAUACAAGGCUGACUGAAAAAUAAAGCUUCCUCAUUUGAAUCUAUCAGACCCAAUUUUGACUAUCAUGAGGAAAAACAAAGAAUGGACUAAAACAAGUGUUCAGAGAAAAGUAGAUAAAUUGAAUUGAAUUAGUGGUUAAAGUUCUUAUGAAUAAUUGAGGAAAUGGUACCAGAUAGGUUUGGGAAAUUAUUAGAAGAUAAGAAGACCAAUACUGUCAAAUAGUUACAGGACACUUUUAAAAUAUAGUCUUUAUUAUUAAACAAUUAUAAUUCCUUUAUUUGGAGGUUUCCAUUAACAAAGUGUUAAUCUCCAUUUCUCUACCAGUUAGCAACAUUUUCAGAGUUUUUACUUAGCACUUCUUAUUUGUAUAAGCAGAUCCUCAGAAUCCUAGGAGUUAAGUUGUCAUUCCUACCUUUUUUUUUCUCUCACUAAAGGAAGAGGCAGAGAAAGUCUUUUGCAGAAUUAUAUACGUCUUUGCCAAAAUUAAGAACAAAUCCAAGAGUGCCAUUCAUCAAAAGCUUUUUUCAUUAUAACCAUUCAUUCUAUCGAAGUAGAAAAAGUGCUAUAACCAUUUACUAUUCAAGCAAAGGGAGAAAAAAGAAAAUAGAAGAUUUCUGCGCUGCUUCAGUUACAGAAAUGAAAUAGAAUGGCAGACUAGUCACCACUAAAAUUCCUAAAAGCAAUUUAAGAAAAUAUGAAAAGUGGCAUUUUAUUGUGCUUUAUAUACUGCUUAUAUCUCAACUAAGUAGUUUACUUUACUAGAUCUAAUUUCAUUGGAAAAUAACUUUUUUGGCCAUCCUUUCAAUAGGCUACAGAUAAACUCAUUUUAUAAUUCAGCUAUUUAUAAACACAUACCACUGUUUUAUAGAAAAGUGGAGUAUCUAAAAGACUGUAAGCAAAAUGAUUUUAUUUGAUAUUAUAUAAUACACCAGAUAAAGUUUCCUAGAUAAUAUUUUGAUUAUAAAAUAUCAUGGCUCCCCAGUGCUUACUGAAUAAAAUUUAAACUUUUUGCUCUGGCACUGAAGGCCCCUACAAUGUCCCUAUCUCUUAAAAUUUGCUUUAUUUACUCAAUUGGACAAAGUUGUUGUGAGUCCAUUCAGCUUUCUAACAUGUCACCCUGUCCAUAUAAUAACAGCUUGCACAGCUGGAAGCAUCCUUUUCCUUCUCUGAAUUUCUACAAGCCUCAGUUUACCACUCAUAAGGCAUUUAUCAUUACACUGCCUUAUUUGUGUGCAAGUCUUACCAACCUGACUGUACUAAAGACCUAAGCCUAAGUGUGUAUACACACACACACACACACACACAAAUAGAGGCUUUAUUUCUUCCCUUUUCUAGCAUAGCAGACACUGAAAAGUACUUUUCUACAAUAUUUCCCUCCUCUACAGAGAAGACUUUUAGGCUUGGAGGCGCAGGAGUGAAAGGAGGCACAGUGGUCCUUAGUUAAUCUCAGGAAGUUAUAUUUGUAUAAUGCUUUCUGGUUUGUAAAAGGCUUUCACAUAUAUCUCUUCAUGUAACAUCAGAAACAAAUAUCACAGAAAAGUUAACAGAGUUGUCUGUAAUGAGUUUGAGUGUGUAAAAUCAGAGCUAUUUAGCAAAUAUUUAGGAGAAGUGAAAAAGGAGAAAAGGAAAUGGCUAGCUUUGUGGAAAUAACAUAAAUAAAGCUGAUUUUAAAGAAAUUUGAAAAGGCUAGAAAAGAUUGAGCAGAGAAACUCUACGGUUUUGUAAGUCUCUGGUCAGCCUGUGGUAUUUCAGAGGAGAAAUCCAGAAAGGGUAUUUGAGGAUAGACAAGAACACGAUGCUGGUGACUGAAUAAAACAUGGUCAGGGAUUUCAUCAGAAGCAGAAUCCAUUCAUGACAGUCUGGCAAUGCUGGAAGAUGGUAAUAGGCACUUGAGCACUUCGGAAGAAAUCAGUCUUUAAGCAUCGCAGGUGAUUUGGGUGAAAGCAGAAGAUAUCAAAAAAUUCUUAUUUCUUGUGAAUAACUCACAGCAUUGAGCCUUGACAUCACAUAUCAACACUUUGGAUAUUGUACAAUCUUUUUCAUCAGAUACCUAGGAUUCCCAAUGUGCUUCUGAACAGACACAUUUUCUUUUCUUUUUUUUUUUUCUUUUUGAGACAGAGUCUCACUCUGAAACCCAGGCUGGACUGCAGUGGCACCAUCUCGGCUCACUGCAACCUCCACCUCCCAGUUUCAAGCAACUCUCCUACCUCAGCCUCCCAAGUAGCAGGGAUUACAGGCGUGUGUCACCAUGCCUGGCUAAUUUUUGUAUUUUUUGUAG
rnacentral:lncRNA from 10 species